GUGAAUUAAACAUGCUUGGCGUCUUCGCUUCGGCAAGGCCCUUGCUUAAAUCACAUCCUAACACCUGUGAACUGUAAGACGUAUGAUGAGGUCUUUGGCCAAGUCAUCGUCUGCCCAUUUUUAACAAACAAUUAAUGUAACAAACGUAGUCUUAUUAUAACCUAAUA
rnacentral:misc_RNA from 1 species